rnacentral:rRNA from 1 species
UUCAUAUCAAAUUAGCGGAGGAAAAGAAACCAACAGGGAUUGCCCUAGUAACGGCGAGUGAAGCGGCAACAGCUCAAAUUUGAAAUCUGGUCCUUUCAGGGCCCGAGUUGUAAUUUGCAGAGGAUGCUUCGGGUACGGGUGCCUACUGAGUUCCCUGGAACGGGACGCCAUAGAGGGUGAGAGCCCCGUCUAGUAGGAUACCCAGCCCAUGUGAAGCUCCCUCGACGAGUCGAGUAGUUUGGGAAUGCUGCUCUAAUGGGAGGUAUACUCCUUCCAAGGCUAAAUACCGGCUGGAGACCGAUAGCGCACAAGUAGAGUGAUCGAAAGAUGAAAAGCACUUUGAAAAGAGAGUCAAAUAGCACGUGAAAUUGUUGAAAGGGAAGCGCUCGCUACCAGACUUGAGUUAGGCGGUUCAACCGGGGCCACGCCCCGGGGCACUCCACCUGCUCAGGCCAGCAUCAGCUUUCCGUCGGGGGCAAAGGCGUCGGGAAUGUGGCUCUCCUCCGGGAGAGUGUUAUAGCCCGGCGUGUCAUACCCUUCGGGGGGCUGAGGUACGCGCUUCUGCAAGGAUGCUGGCGUAAUGGUAGCUAGUGACCCGUCUUGAAAACACGGACAA